UCCCUGGUGGCUCAGAUGGUAAAGAAUCCGCCUGCAAAGCAGGAGACCUGGGUUCAAUCCCUAGGUUGGGAA
rnacentral:tRNA from 1 species